UCGACAAAAAUGACUAUGUCUCAAAAUUAUAUAAAAUAAAAGACAAAAUUAUAUAAAAUAAAAGAAAAGUAAGAACAAUGCUUUUACUAAUGCUCUUAAUUUUCAAAUGUGUUGUUAGGUUGUGUACAGAACAGCCCCCAACCCAGACAUGCCUAGUAACCCUGAUCAAUAAAACGUGAGAAACUCUUGCCAAUAAAUUAGUUCAAAGUAUAUAUGUAUGCAGUACAACUUUGUGUUCAAGAAUAUAAGAAAGCUAAGUAUUUGUGGUGAAAAUUUUGUAGUGAUCCAGUUUUUUUACAAAAUGCAUUAGAUAUUAAUCUAUCAGACUAUAUUGCUUAAAAAAUUGUUACCAUCUGGAAAAAAAUUGAUAAUAUGAGACUUAUUAAGUUUGUUUGUUUUUCAAUUUCAACAAUUGAGGUUAACUAUCAAUCGUCUGCCUUGUUUAAAGUAUCUAUUUAUUUAUUCACUUCUUCUCCUUAUACUUAAAAUAGACAUUUAAAGACCGUACUUUGACCUAUAAUGGUUUACUUUUAUAAAUUUUGACUUGGAUGGAGAGUUGUCUCAUUGGCACUCAUACCACAUCUUCUUAUAUCUAUUUGACAUCUAUCUACCAAUAAUAAAAGAACAGAGUUCCAAUGUCCCCCGCAUUGCACAUAUUUUAUCUAUCCAAGGUACAAGGGCAAUAACUAAUAAAAUGCUCUGCUGGCUGCAGCUUGAUACGACCGCAGAGGUCGAACCCUGAACAGUUGGGGCAAGUAUGGAAACAACAUUCAAGCUUGAUACAGCACUGAAUUUGGAUUGUGAUUAAAUAUUUGACACAGCAUAGGUUUCUGACACAGAAUGAAUGUGGUCUAAGAACUUAAAAUUUUUUAAUUUACCUAUUCAAACCAUAUCAUUAUUAUUUGCUAUUAUAUAUAAAUCAGAAAUAACCAAUUUAAAAUGGAAAAUUUCAAAAAAAAAAGGGAAAAAGGAAAAAAAAAUCCCUCCCUCAAAUUUUUUGAACCCCCUUAUGAUUCAUCACCCCCAAACUCAAUCCCAGCCUUCCCUUUGUGGUAUAGUACCUUGCAGUACAAUUUCAGAGAGAUCUAUACACUUGAACACAAGUUAUUGUCUGGAAACUAGAAUAAAAUGCUCCGCAGGGCGCAGCUUGAUACGACCGCAGAGGUCGUACCCUGAACAGUUGGGGCAAGUAUGGACACAACAUUCAAGCUUGAUACAGCUUUGCAUUUGGAUUGUGAUCAAAUAUUUGACACAGCAUAGGUUUCUGACACAGAAUGAAUGUGGUCUAAGGACUUAAAAAUUUUAAAUUGGACAUUCACUUAUUAUGGUCCAAUAUCCAAAAUCUAAAUACAUGGUUAGAUUCAGCAUAUCAAAGAACCCCAAGAAUUCAAUUUUUGAUGAAAUCAAACAAAGUUUAAUUUUGGACUCUUUUGACCUCAAUGUGAACAAAGUUGAUAACGGGGCCCAAAAAUCAAAAAUCUAAAUACAUGGUUAGAUUCAGCAUAUCAAAGAACCCCAUAUAUUCAAUUUUUGUUGAAAUCAAACAAAGUUUAAUUUUGGACCCCGAUUUGGACCAACUUGAAAACUGGGCCCAUAAUCAAAAAUCUAAAUACAUGUUUAGAUUCAGCAUAUCAAAGAACCCUAAGAAUUCAAUUUCUGUUAAAAUCAAACUAAGUUUAAUUUUGGACCCUUUGGACCUUAAUGUAGACCAAUUUGAAAACGGAACCAAAAAUUAAGAAUCUAAAUACACGGUUAGAUUCGGCAUAUCAAAGAACCCCAAUAAUUCAAUUUUUGAUGAAAUCAAACAAUGUUAAAUUUUGGACCCUUUGGACCUCAAUGUGGACCAAUUUAAAAACGGGGCCCAAAAUCCAAAAACUUAAUACUUGGUUAGAUUCAGCAUAUUAAAGAACCCCAAGAAUUCAAGAAUAAAACCCCAUUGAAAUUGAUCAAGAAAUAAGCAAUUUAUACGAAGUAUCUUCUUUUGCACAAUACUGUGCAAUUGAAUAUUUCUUGCUAUUGUGCAAUACUGUACAAUUGACAAUUUCUUGCUAUUGCGCAAUAUUGUGCUAUUGGAUAUUUCUUGCUAUUGCGCAAUACUGUGCAAUUGAAGAUUUCUUGCUAUUGCGCAAUACUGUGCAAUUGAAGAUUUCUUGCAAUUGUGCAAUACUGUGCAAUUGAAAAUUUCUUGCUAUUGCACAAUACUUAUUAUAUAAUAAUUUACACAUCCUGUUUGGUGUGUAUCUCCUACCAUAUCAUUAUUAUUUGCUUUUAAAUAUUAAUCAGAAAUAACCAACUUAAAAUGGAAAAUUUUAAAAGAAAAAAUAAAAGGAAAAAAAGAAAAAAAAGAAAAAAAAGAAAAAAAAAAAAUCCCCCCCCUAAAUUUUUUGAACCCCCUUAUGAUUCAUCACCCCCAAACUCAAUCCCAGCCUUCCCUUUGUGGUAUGGUACCUUGCAGUACAAUUUCAGAGAGAUCCAUACACUUGAACACAAGUUAUUGUCUGGAAACUAGAAAAAUGCUUAUUUUUGGCCCCUUUAUGGCCCCCUAUUCCUAAACGUUUCGGGCAUUAACCCACAAACUCAAUUCCAGCUUUCCCUUUGUGAUAUGGAACCUUGUAGUACAAUUUCAGAAAUAUCCAAACACUUACACACAAGUUAUUGUCAUGAAACUAGAAAAAUGCUUGUUUUUUGCCCCUUUUUUGGCCCCUAAUUCCUAAAAUUUUGAGGCAAUUACCCCCAAAAUCAAUUACAGCCUUCCAGUUGUGAUAUGGAACCUUGUGGUACAAUGUCAGAGAGAUCCAUACACUUACACACAAGUUAUUGUCUGGAAGUUACAAAAAUGCUUAUUUUUGGCCCCUAAUUCCUUAACUGUUGG